rnacentral:rRNA from 1 species
UAGGGAAUCUUCGGCAAUGGACGGAAGUCUGACCGAGCAACGCCGCGUGAGUGAAGAAGGUUUUCGGAUCGUAAAGCUCUGUUGUUAGAGAAGAACGUUGGUAGGAGUGGAAAAUCUACCAAGUGACGGUAACUAACCAGAAAGGGACGGCUAACUACGUGCCAGCAGCCGCGGUAAUACGUAGGUCCCGAGCGUUGUCCGGAUUUAUUGGGCGUAAAGCGAGCGCAAGCGGGUCUUUAAGUCUGAAGUUAAAGGCAGUGGCUUAACCAUUGUACGCUUUGGAAACUGGAGGACUUGAGUGCAGAAGGGGAGAGUGGAAUUCCAUGUGUAGCGGUGAAAUGCGUAGAUAUAUGGAGGAACACCGGUGGCGAAAGCGGCUCUCUGGUCUGUAACUGACGCUGAGGCUCGAAAGCGUGGGGAGCAAACAGG